ensembl:lncRNA
AGUGAGAGGCCAACAGACAAGCCAGUUGGCCUUGAGCUCCGGCUCACUAAUAAUAGCAUCAUCCAGGCCGGCUCAGAGCUGCGGGGACUGCAGGAUGACAUCACCCAGAUGGAAGCAGAAGGGAUGGGCAAACCGCAAGGUCCCAAGGGCUGAUGAACACUGGAAGCUGCUUGAGAAAACCCAGGCUGGAGUGCAGCAGUGCAAUCUCAGUUCACUACAACCUCUGCCUCCCAGGUUCAAGAGAUCCUCCCACCUCAACCUCUUGAGUAGCUGGGACUACCAGAGUUAG